GAUGCACACAAACCCAAAGGUCAUUAUUAUUUUGUAUAAUGCUCUUGUCAUGUGUGCAGAAAUUAAAAGGACCUUGUCGCCUUUCAUACGCUGUUGUGCCAAUGGAAGUGAAAUCAAGGUUCAACACGA